AUUAAGAAUAUAGUAAUUACAAAAUAUUGAAUUUAUCUUCAACUCAAAAUAAAAUUCUACACCAAGACUCUUGACCUAUUACUACCCAAAACAUAUCCUAUUGCUGGUCAUAACUCUGAUACACUUGUGAGAAUCUCUCUCGACAAGGCUAACACCAAUGUCCACGAAUCUCCGAGCCUCAACUACACGUCACUACGCUCUCGCUGCGCAACUCUGAUUUACUGGAUUAGUAACCUGGCCAAAUUUUUACAUGAGGGUCGCUCCAAAACAUAGGAAAACAUCAAUUAAGCAUGCAUAUAUACAUAUGGAAAACUCAUAAAUUACCAAUAAUAAAAUAAGUAGUUAUCAAUCACUUACCACACGACACCAUAGUUACACUCUCUGAUGUUUCACCAAAUCAUAAAGAUUAGAUAUUUUAAUGCACCCUAUAUGAUCCGGAUAUCACCGCUCCGCAGAGUAAAUUGUCCCACCAUUGGACAGUGUCCCACCAUUGGACACAAUACCCCACCGUUGGGUAUUAUGGUUCGGUACCCCACCGUUGGGUAUUAUUCCAAACCACACCAAAAAGGAAAUGAAUGCCCUAUCACCACUAAGUUAGUCACACCAAAAAUUACUCCGCCGAGCAAUUAAUCAAAACAGUCUUGUUCUAACACCGAUUUUAGAGACAAGACCUCCCCAAUGAUAACCCCAAUCACCAACCAAAGACACCGUUGCUAACCCCAAUCACCAAAUCAGAAGACAUAAUAAAUCACAUUAACAACAAGGAAAUAAACUAUGCAUCACCAGAAUUCAUAUAUCAUUUACACACACCAUAAAGAUCACAUAGACAUAUGUAUAAUUAAAAUAAACAAGCAACGGAGGACCCUCUAACCUUAAUAGCAGCAACUCCUAAUCAACAUAUGCUUCAAUAUAAGCUCACACUUGCUGACAAAACCUAUUUGUUAAUUCUUAGUUGAUCUUCUGCUCAUCCCUCUUUGGCCAUUAAAUCUCUAAUUUUAAAGUUUCAUUGUCUCUUAAUUUUUUCUCUAUUUUCUAAGCGUAUAGAACCGGCAAGGGAAGGAAUAAUGGAAGUGAGAGAGAACCGAUAGUUACUUAUAUAGGUAUUAAUCCUCACACUAACUUCUUCCUAAAUAAAU
rnacentral:lncRNA from 1 species